rnacentral:rRNA from 1 species
AUUGAACGCUGGCGGAAUGCUUUACACAUGCAAGUCGAACGGCAGCACGGGUGCUUGCACCUGGUGGCGAGUGGCGAACGGGUGAGUAAUGCGUCGGAACGUGCCGAGUAAUGGGGGAUAACGCAGCGAAAGUUGUGCUAAUACCGCAUACGCCCUGAGGGGGAAAGUGGGGGAUCGCAAGACCUCACGUUAUUCGAGCGGCCGACGUCUGAUUAGCUAGUUGGUGGGUAAAGGCCUACCAAGGCGACGAUCAGUAGCGGGUCUGAGAGGAUGAUCCGCCACACUGGGACUGAGACACGGCCCAGACUCCUACGGGAGGCAGCAGUGGGGAAUUUU